GCAGGCGUGCAGGGCCUUGGCUACUGCGCUAGGUCUGCUGAUGGCCACAAGCCUUUAGUCCCAGCUCUGCCUUAGCAAUGGGGGUGUCUGAAGGCUCAGGGGAUACACAGGUCCUCUAGGUUCCUGGGGAGAUGAUGGAGUGAGAGUUUCGACCAGGAGUGGAUACUGAGGAGAGCAAAGAUCACCUGGUGCUCAUCAAGCCGGACUUCCAGAGGCAAAGCUCCUUAACUGAAGAAUUCAGAAGUAAUGAUGAUCCAGUGCAGGACCCUGAGAAGCCCACAGGAGAAGAAGAAUCCCUAAAGUGAGAGAAACCUGGGCCCUUGAGUGACUGCAUGGAGAAGAGCCCCAUCAUUGACUCAUGUUAGACUGUGA
rnacentral:lncRNA from 1 species